AACGCACAUUGCGCUCCCUGGUAUUCCGGAGAGCAUGCCUGUUUGAGAAUCAGUAAAUUCUUCAACACCAAUGGUUGGGUGGCUUAAUUGCUGCCUGUCUGAGGCGUUGGAUGUGAGCCUUUUUGUGCCUAUGGCGCAAAUGGCUUAGAAAGCAAUGUUAGAGGACCUUGGGCGACAUGUCUUAGGCAAAACGCAUGAAUGAGGCAACUCAACUAGUACGUUUGGCAUCUGACUUGACACCUUUGUGCCUGUGACUCAACUAUUAUCCAGGCAAGCUGGCGUCAGCGAGCUUGCUCUGAACACUUGGUCUCAAAUCAGGUAGGAAAACCCGCUGAACUUAA
rnacentral:misc_RNA from 1 species